UCUCCUAUCAGUGGACGUGUAUAUGGCAGCCAUUUUAGGAACCGUACACCUGGGACCCGAGCAAGGUCACCUCGUUCAACAGGCUUGCAGCGUAUCCUCCAGGAAGAAGAACCCUUACCGGCUGCACGUGUCUUACCUGUACAUGGAAAGCUGCUCUGGUUCCUUGAUGAGCCAGCUGCCCGUGAGUUAACAUGUCCCGUGGAGAAGCACUCUGUCCUGUAAAGCCUCACCAAAAAAAAGGAGUGGUGUG
rnacentral:lncRNA from 1 species